CAGUCGCCGCGGUAAUACAGAGGGUGCGAGCGUUAAUCGGAUUUACUGGGCGUAAAGCGUGCGUAGGCGGCUUCUUAAGUCGGAUGUGAAAUCCCUGAGCUUAACUUAGGAAUUGCAUUCGAUACUGGGAAGCUAGAGUAUGGGAGAGGAUGGUAGAAUUCCAGGUGUAGCGGUGAAAUGCGUAGAGAUCUGGAGGAAUACCGAUGGCGAAGGCAGCCAUCUGGCCUAAUACUGACGCUGAGGUACGAAAGCAUGGGGAGCAAACAGGAUUAGAUACCCCAGUAGUCCCUGUUUCUUAUAC
rnacentral:rRNA from 1 species